GUUGGCUAUUACCAGUAAAUAAUUUAUAGAAUUCAUGAACUCUCCUCUACCCUAAAAGCAUUAUACAACUAAUAUUGUUUGGUUAUAAUUUGUUGUUACUUUUUAUACGUUUUAAUAUCGAGUAUGGGGGCAUCAUAUCUCCUUUACUAUAUAGAAGAAUGCACCACUCUUAGUUACAGAAUUCUGUGUUUACUUGUAGAACAAAACAUUUGUUAUAUUUAAAUUUGUUAUAAACAGGAUAAAAGUUAAAAUAAACAAGAAUGUGUCCAUAGUACACGGAUGCCCCACUCCCACUAUCAUUUUCUAUGUUCAGUGGACCGUGAAAUUGGGGUCAAAACUUUAAUUUGGAAUUAAAAUUAGAAAGAUCAUAUCAUAGGGAACAUGUGUUCUAAGUUUCAAGUUGAUGUAACUUUAACUUCAUCAAAAACUACCUUAACCAAAAACUUUAACCUGAACUUUGCACUAUCAUUUUCUAUGUUCAGUGGACCAUGAAAUUGGGGUCAAAACUAUAAUUUGGCAUUAAAAUUAGAAAGAUCAUAUCAUAGGGAACAUGUGUAUUAAGUUUCAAGUUGUUUGGACUUCAGCUUCAUCAAAAACUACCUCGACCAAAAACUUUAACCUGAAGCGAACGGACGGACGGACGAACGGAUGCACAGACCAGAAAACAUAAUGUCCCUCUACUAUCGUAGGUGAGGCAUAAAAAACAUAAUGCCCCUCUACUAUCGUAGGUGGGGCAUAAUAAAAACAAAAUGUGGCGUAAUACUAGUUAAAACAACCCAAAAUACUUUGAAAGUUCCAGUAAAAAUAAAAUUUGCUGGAAGCUCAAAGAAAAUAAUACUUUUUACAAAUAAAACUGUAGCAAAAGCAUGGACGGCAACAAUC
rnacentral:lncRNA from 1 species